UUUCAAAGCUUUGAUGGUUUUGAUUUCUGUUGGCAAUGGUUUGAUCCACGAUUCUGUGUCCAACACCCAAGAACAAUUUGGGUAACGACGGAUAAUCAUUUCUACAGCAGUGGCUUACAAUUACAUUGGAAUGGCAUGCAAACAACACGGUUGCAGCCAUAGUUUGUUCCUCUUUCUUGUUCUGCUCUUUCUGUUACUGAAAAUGUGAAGAGCCAUAAAAAAAAGUUAGCAGCUUUCCAUCACUAGUUUACAGGUGUUUUCCCACAAAGUAAGAUUGCUACCCUCUUGUGCAGCAUUCACGAUAACUUAUAGCGGCAACAUAAUUUGCAUAAGUUCAGUAGCACAAGUUUGUGAAUGACUUAAACAAACUCAAACUAAUGCAUUCUUCUGUGGAUAAGCUCCACAAAUUCAAUCAAAAUUAGAUAACCUCAUUACCCGAAAUCGCGGACUUUCUGUGGUCUCUGUGUAUGGCUUUCUAGCUUUGUCAAUAACUCUCAUGAAAAUGUCAUUAAUUAGAAGAAUAUCUAGAACCAAAUUAGAAGCUUUUUAGCUACAUCUCAAUCAUUCAUUAGCAAAUUAUCUAUUGAAUCGCGAGGCCAACACUAAAUUAGAAAUAACCAAAUUCAUAGUUUUCUAGACAUUAAUUGUAUUGUUCUUUUCAAAUUAUAAAAACCCCAUUUUUCUCUACCUUCACCACAAUCAGAUUCCAAUCUCAUCAUCUCCAAAUUUGCCACCUUUCCCAGAUUUCACUAUCCCUUUUCCACAAAUAUUAACACACACAGGAAAUAACUCACAAAAAAACAGCCAAAUUCCCAAAAACCAAUCUCUCUAACUUCGGGUGAUUAACAAAAAAAACUGAAAAAUUAAAUCCCAUCAAGCAAACUCAAUCAAUCUCUUAGGAGCUCUCUCAAUUGAUCCUCGAUGAAAGCCUUAC
rnacentral:lncRNA from 1 species